UACGUAGGGUGCAAGCGUUAAUCGGAAUUACUGGGCGUAAAGCGUGCGCAGGCGGUUGUGCAAGACAGAUGUGAAAUCCCCGGGCUCAACCUGGGAACUGCAUUUGUGACUGCACGGCUAGAGUGUGUCAGAGGGGGGUAGAAUUCAACGUGUAGCAGUGAAAUGCGUAGAUAUGUGGAGGAACACCGAUGGCGAAGGCAGCCCCCUGGGUCAAGACUGACGCUCAUGCACGAAAGCGUGGGGAGCAAACAGG
rnacentral:rRNA from 1 species